rnacentral:rRNA from 1 species
CCUACGGGUGGCAGCAGUAGGGAAUAUUGCUCAAUGGGGGAAACCCUGAAGCAGCAACGCCGCGUGGAGGAUGAAGGUUUUCGGAUUGUAAAAUCCUUUUGUUAGAGAAGAUAAUUACGGUAUCUAACGCAUACGCACCGGCUAACUCCGUGCCAGCAGCCGCGGUACUACGGAAGGUGCAAGCGUUAAUCGGAAUUACUGGGCGUAAAGAGCGCGUAGGCGGGAUAGAAAGUCAGAUGUGAAAUCCUAUGGCUUAACCAUAGAACUGCAUUUGAAACUGUUAUUCUAGAGUAUGGGAGAGGUAGGUGGAAUGCUUGGUGUAGGGGUAAAAUCCGUAGAGAUCAAGAAGAAUACUCAUUGCGAAGGCGACCUGCUAGAACAUAACUGACGCUGAUGCGCGAAAGCGUGGGGAGCAAACAGGAUUAGAUACCCUUGUAGUC